ensembl:lncRNA
GCUGCUAUUAGCUCUGCUUGCAGGAGAAGUUUGUUACAAUCCAUGGUCUCUCUAGCAGAGCUUUCACAGGUGAUGCUGAGAAUAUCUCACUGGUAAAGGAUGGCUUUUACGUAGACUGUGCAUUAGAAAGCAGCGUGUGCUUCUUUCUGCUGAUGUUUUCCUUUUAUUUCUAUCCUAUUUCUGUUUCCUUCCAUCAGUUUCCCAGUUAAGAGCAACAAACUGAGCUGCACCGAGCCCUUGCAGCAGGAGCAAUAACAUUUGCAGUCCUGCAGAAAGAAAUGCUUUCCCACAUUCCCUUUAAAAUUGUUAGGCAAAAAUGAUUUGUGUGCUCUAAAAGUAAGGGUAGAGCAGAGACCUUGGAGUGAUAAUGCUACAAAGACCUUUUUCUUUGUCUUUUUCAAAACAUUGAUUUCUUGAGGAAAGGAGAUCAUGAGCAAAAGAAAACAAAACCUCACAUGCUGGAGUGGUCCCAUUAGAGGAAUGCAGGCUCAUAAGUCCUGCUAAAUAUGAUACUACAUGUAAAGUCAAAAAAGCACAGUGAGGUCUGGGAAACUUGGCAGAGGAUCAGCCAAGAUCUGUUAUAUUGUCUUUCACAUGGCUUGUUAGGAUGGAGGUAAGUUGGUGAGCUGGGAGAGAAAUUGAAAGGUCUCUUUGAAGUUGAACGUAUAGAAUGUUGUGUUGAGAUUGUGUUACUGCCAGAAGGAAGGCAGGAGGAGAGAAAGUUAGGCCUGGGACUAAGACAGAACCUGGGUUCUGUAUUGGUAAUGUCCCUUCUGAGAAAGACAAAGUGCAGCCCAAGACACAAACAGAACAGGGCUCAGGAGGAGAAAUAAGUGAAGAAGUAGGAAUUAAAAAACCAGGCAGGACAAGAUUUUCAGUGGUGAGUGAUACCAAAGCCCUGGACUGAUUUGGGAGAAUGAAGCUGGAGCACUGACUGCGAAGUCUGAUUAAGAUAGGACCACUUGCUGCUCUGGUAAUUACAGUAAUCACGAGGGCGAGGGGCUGGUGCCUUUGUUCCUUGGCUAAUAGCACUGUAAUCUCUCACGUUUCUUAUUUCUAAGUUUGUCUGUAAAACCUCCUGCAUUUGCAUUAUCCCUUUCAUCCUAUACUAUUUCCCAGUUUGAGAUUUUGGAAGCGAUCAGAGCAACUGCUGACAUUUGAACCUGACCAAUGCAGAACGGAAAGUGGGAAGUGGCAGCAGAUCCCACAGAAUGUGGGGAGAGCCUCCUUUGAGUACUGAAUCAAAAGCAGAUCAAGAAACCAGGCAAGUACUACGACAACUAUAGGCUGCCAUGAGAGCCUUCCCCGGCACAUCACCCGACUGGAAGAAAAAUUUGGCAUGGACCUGCGUUCCCUGUCUUCUUAUGGUCACAGAAAGCGAUCCAGUUUAAAACAGGCACAGUGAACGUGUGCAUUAUUAUCCAGCAGGGGGAGCCGUGGAUACUGUUUUACUGUUCCCAGAGAAAAUACCAGGAAUGGAGAAAUUAAUAGGCACUAUCUAACGUGAAACAAAGGUAGGAGCCAGUCUUGCUGCUGCUGCAUCCUGGUGGCUCUGCCAGCUGGAUAUGUGGUGCCCAGAUUGCUUGUCAGAAAGUCUUAGAUGUGAAAGUAAGUGAAAGAUGUGAUGCAGACAGCUUUCCUACCAACUGAUCAAAAAGCCCUGAACAGACCUGCUUUGGAAACAGCAAGAGAAGUGCUGCGUAAAGCUCAAAAGCAUUCUGCAGGACUAAUCAUGAGGAGGGUACUGUAUGGAAGGCGUUAGCCUAUAAAGGAGCUGGUACUGCUCUUCCUCUUCGUAUGUUGGUUUUGUUUGUGCAAGGAUUCUUCCAUCCCCUUCCAGCCCCAGUCUUCUUCCCCAAAAUUCUCCCGUGGCUCUUGCACAGCUAUCAUACAGCCAUUAUUCAAGCAAGUACCCGACUGAGAUGCUUUCACUUUUCCUGCUUUAUUGCUCAGAAAACAUCCCUCCUCUGUGUAUGAGCCCUGCAGAUAUCUGGCUCCACCUCUAGGCGAACG